GAUAAAGAACGCAGCGAAAUGCGAUAAGUAAUGUGAAUUGCAGAAUUCAGUGAAUCAUCGAAUCUUUGAACGCACAUUGCGCCCGCCAGUAUUCUGGCGGGCAUGCCUGUUCGAGCGUCAUUUCAACCAUCAAGCCCCCGGCUUGUGUUGGGGACCUGCGGCUGCCGCAGGCCCUGAAAAGCAGUGGCGGGCUCGCUGUCACACCGAGCGUAGUAGCAUACAUCUCGCUCUGGGCGUGCUGCGGGUUCCGGCCGUUAAACCACCUUCAUAACCCAAGGUUGACCUCGGAUCAGGUAGGAAGACCCGCUGAACUUAAGCAUAUCAAUAAGCGGAGGA
rnacentral:misc_RNA from 1 species